rnacentral:rRNA from 1 species
CAGCCGCCGCGGUAACACCGGCAGCUCGAGUGGUAGCCGCGUUUAUUGGGCCUAAAGCGUCCGUAGCCGGUCCGAUAAGUCUCUGGUGAAAGCCCACAGCUCAACUGUGGGAAUCGCUGGAGAUACUAUCGGACUUGAGGCCGGGAGAGGCUGGAGGUACUCCCAGGGUAGGGGUGAAAUCCUAUAAUCCUGGGAGGACCACCUGUGGCGAAGGCGUCCAGCUGGAACGGACCUGACGGUGAGGGACGAAAGCCAGGGGCGCGAACCGGAUUAGAUACCCGGGUAGUCCUGGCCGUAAACGAUGCGGACUUGGUGUUGGGAUGGCUUUGAGCUGUCCCAGUGCCGAAGGGAAGCUGUUAAGUCCGCCGCCUGGGAAGUACGGCCGCAAGGCUGAAACUUAAAGGAAUUGGCGGG